AAUAAUAAUACUGAAUAAUGACACAUUUUUUAUAUGUUUUUGACCAAAACCCUUUGGGGUCCCUGGGAUCAAGCCUGAGUGGAGGCCGAAAUGUAUAUUUUUUAUACAUACAUUGUAUUGUUUGUUUUUUUUAAUGAAAAAAUAUCAAAAUGGCCCCCACUUGCUUAGAUUUUUCAGUGUGCGGCCCUCAGUGGAUAAAGUUUGGACAGGCAGCCAUGAUGUAAAACUAAAUAAUUCACGUUUUGAGGGUUAAAAAAAAGACAAAAAGUUUUUCUCACUUGGGGACGAACAUGCUCUGCUCGCCCAGCCUGGCCACGAAGUCCUCCCAGGCGGCGGUGCUCGGCUCCUGCUCGUAGUCCUGCGGCGGCGGCGGCUGCUGCUCCGCGUCCUUCCGGUGGUGUCGGUCGUGGAAGCCGUUGAUGAACUCGGCCAUGGUGAUGGUGCCGUCCUUGUCCACGUCCAGCUGGUUGAAGAUGCGCUCGGCCUCGGUGGGGCUGACGUGCAGCUCGGUGCAGAUGGUGAAGAACUCGCUCCUCUCGAUGCUGCCCGACUGGUCCGCGUCGUAGGCGUGGAAAAGGGCGCGAAGGCGCUCGCGCUCCUCGGCGCUCAUCACCUUGGGACGAGGCAGGCUGCGGGGAGGCGACAACAUUUAGUCCCGAAAGAAGUCACAUUAAAUCCACGAUAAUCCCAAACGAGAACUCCACGGUUCGUCACCCACGCAGGUCAACUUCCAACCAUCACCUCGAAAGACCCACUUUCGGUAAAUUAAGCCUGACGCAAUCGAUCCCUGUGGAGAGACGGAGCCGACAGCAGGAUAGGACAAACAGCAGUCCUACCCAAGAUGGCGGCCAGGAGGCGGAGCAUGCAGCGGAGCGGAGAGUUUAAAAGGGGAGAAGGAGGAGCAAUCGGGGCAGAAGACGGAAAAGAAACUGCAACAGACAACAACGACAAAGACGACGAGAGACGACCAGAGGAGAGAUAAACCCCCGCGGAAGACGCAGCCACCGGCCACCGGCCACCGAAACGCGCGCCGAGAUGAGCAGGAAAAGAGGUCGUGCUAGAAAUUGGCGCUACCGACUUGAACGAAAGCAUGUUUAUUGAA